UGCAAAAGUUUCCUCGCGCUAGACGAAAAUUGACCAUCGAGUGCAAAAGUAAAGAGAAGCUUGAUUGCAAGACUCACCUAUCAAGCAGGGACAAAAGUCGGCCUUAAC
rnacentral:rRNA from 1 species